GAUGAAGAACGCAUCGAAAUGCGAUACGUAAUGUGAAUUGCAAAUUCAGUGAAUCAUCGAGUCUUUGAACGCACAUUGCGCCCCCUGGUAUUCCGGGGGGCAUGCCUGUCCGAGCGUCAUUGCUGCCCUCAAGCACGGCUUGUGUGUUGGGCCCCGUCCUCCGAUCCCGGGGGACGGGCCCGAAAGGCAGCGGCGGCACCGCGUCCGGUCCUCGAGCGUAUGGGGCUUUGUCACCCGCUCUGUAGGCCCGGCCGGCGCUUGCCGAUCAACCCAAAUUUUUUAUCCAGGUUGACCUCGGAUCAGGUAGGGAUACCCGCUGAACUUAAGCAUAUCAAUAAGCGGAGGA
rnacentral:misc_RNA from 1 species